GGGGCGGGCGAGAGCGCCGGCGCCAUUUUAGGUCUAGCGCUGAGAUUCCAGCAAAAUCCUUUGUUCGGUGAAAUGGGUCACGGAGCAGGGGGCGCGCGCGCGCGCUCGCACCUAGAGGGCGGGGGCACGCGGGCGCGCAGAGGGAAGUGAGCGAGCGCGGCGCUGGCGUCCGGCCAGACCUUCCUUACGGCGCACCUCCGCCUGGUGCGGCCGGCGGCUGAGGGACCCACACCCCGAAACGUCCCGUCCCCGCCACGCGCAGGGCGGCCCGUUCUCGCUGCUAGCGCUUCCUGGAGCUGCCCCGCCGCUGACCUAAGCUGCUACCAGAGCUGUGCUGUUUGGCGGUGCCGUGUACCGCCCGCCCUUAGCGGGCCGCUCGCUUUUUGUUGGUGUUUGGGACGCGACGAGCACACACGCAACCCUUUAGCGGCCCUGCGCCGACUCCCUUGUGCUGUCGGUCCUUUAUGUAGAGGGAGAGUGACGCGGCUCCUCGUGCCUCCCCCUGCCUUUGCUGUACCAUAAAUCCUCGAGUAUAGGCCCCCCGCCGUCCAGCGGCGGAAGGAGCAAAGCAGGGCUGAGGAGUGAGAGGAAACGUGGCAAACGCGGCAAACGCUCCGUGGCGCCCAGGGGGAGGUGGAGGUGGAUCAGGCUGCCUGUACCUCUGCCAUAGCCGGCAGCUGGAGCGGGCUGAAGGUGCCGGCCAAGGCGGUAACGCAAUGCUGGAGGACAUCGGGAAGUGGUAGACUGGGGAAGAGCGGGAUGAAUUGUUGCACCACGAGAUCAUGCUCAGAAAUCAUGGAACGAACAGAUCCAAUACGUCUGCAGUUUUAAAGGGACGAGUAAAUCUCACCAGAACGCCUGCCAGAUGCCAAGUGCUUUGUUCCAUUGGAACUAACAGAGCAUACUCUUAAGACAGCUGCAUCCAAGAGAUUCUGAAUGAAGAGGAGUUGUCUUGGGCCGCAUAUCAAAUAUAUAAUAUA